GGAAACGGAGGCUGAAGAGGGUUCAAGGCCCAGAGAGGACCAUGUACGGGCGAGGAGCCCCACCAUCAGCCAUCCUCCCACGACCUUCGUGAAGGACAGAGGAGAGGAGAGAAGUGCUCUUGGCUGCCAGACCCUCCCCGCCUAAGACCUGAAGGAGGCAGAAGAGAUGGCAGGAACCACGGCCUCUUCUCAACACCACCAGGGAGGACCUUCUGCUAAAAGUGCUACAUUCAUACACAUACUCUUUACACCCAGCGAAUCCAAAGAAAUAAAAUGUGGCACUUAA
rnacentral:lncRNA from 1 species